CUAGAGUGUAAGUUAUAUUGACAAGGCUAGUUGUGAAAACUGGAAAGCAUGCCCUGCCAUCCUUCGGUUUCCUAAAUUCAAAUACGUUGGAGGAUGAUAUGGGAAUUGUGAACUCAAAGCUUGAGCUUUUGGAAUAGUUGGUUCGUGGCAGUUCACUUUUUUUUAUUUAUGCUAGGUUUAUAUUAUUGUUAUUUUGGCUUCUCGAAUAUUAUAUCCAAAAUUGCAUUUUCUAUGACAUUAUUUUUGCGUCUUGAUCUUGCUGAUUAAUUUUGCAGACAUUGAUAUACUUUUAUGAUCCCAUAGAGCUGGAACAAGAUCAACUCAUUGAAGGUUUAGUGACAUUGUCGCAAAGCAGAGAAAAUGCACGAUUUAUGAAUAUUCACCUUGAAUAUACUUCAGGUGGUCGAUCGCAUGUGAAAGAGUCUGUUAUGAGAUGAUAAUUUAAUUUCAUGUACGUGAGCAUUGUCUUUCGCAUCAACAUUCUCGGACUUCUGCAUAUAUAAUUUCUGACUCCGUUUCUCCUAGAGAACUGUGGGUAGGUGUUUGUUCUUCAAAUCACUAAUCUCUGCGUGCUAGAUUAGAAUGUAGCAACUGACGAACUUGUCACACCAUAGAGUUAUGCCAAUCACAUGCAAUUUUGUUGUAAUUUACAUCACUGAGGCGGAUUACUAUCGUGGGGCUUUCGCAUAUUUUGUUUCAAUUAUCUAUUGGAUUCUUACUGUAACAUAGAGCUGUUUUUGAACUGUACAUCGCGUGCGUAUUGAUAUAGACUUCAAUGUAUCAUCUUUGAGCAUCGUUGCCA